rnacentral:rRNA from 1 species
CAGUAGCCGCGGGAACACGUAGGUGGCAAGCGUUGUCCGGAAUUAUUGGGCGUAAAGGGCUCGCAGGCGGUUUCUUAAGUCUGAUGUGAAAGCCCCCGGCUCAACCGGGGAGGGUCAUUGGAAACUGGGAAACUUGAGCGCAGAAGAGGAGAGUGGAAUUCCACGUGUAGCGGUGAAAUGCGUAGAGAUGUGGAGGAACACCAGUGGCGAAGGCGACUCUCUGGUCUGUAACUGACGCUGAGGAGCGAAAGCGUGGGGAGCGAACAGGAUUAGAUACCCCGGUAGUCCCUGUCUCUUAUAC